ACCACAUCAGAUGCUCAAUAGAAAGAGUUUCUUGUUCCUCAAGACACUGAAAUUCCUAUUCUGAAUGAUCUGCUCACGAUGUUCAACCUUUGGCUUCUGGCAAUGGCUACUGUCUUCUGUUCCAGAGAUAGUGAAAAAGCACCUUAAUGCCCAGAACAUGGGAUCAUCAUCGUCCAGAGCAGCCAGUAUGAAGCUCACAGGCACACUGGGUGAACAGGUCUCUGCUGCUUCCUCCCCAUGGUGAGGUGGACUCAAUCCUGCUGUCCAUUACCAAGAGGAGUCCUGGUGUCCUCCUGGGUCUUCCUCUGCUCCUGCUGACAGCUGGCGGCACCUCUCUGGCCUGAGCAUCCUUCAGAAGAUGCAGCCAUUGCUCUUCGCCCCGCUGCCACCACAUUUUUGCCUCUGUCUGCCUCAUUUCCUACAUGAGGCAGUCAUUAAGUGGAGCAGGAAAGGAAAAGAGACAUCUUACACAAAGGCACGGAGCUUUGCACUUCUCCAGCAGUGUGCUGUAUCAAUCACAAUGGGAACAGAGAGCACAGUGGAAAAUAUCUUUCUGCCCACCCUUGGAGAUCUGUGCUGUGAUGAAGGCUCUGAAACCAAUUGAAGAGAAGCACAAGCAGGACAGCUUUUAAACCGGCCCAAGAAAAAUGUUCAACAACCUAAGAACAAACUGCAAGUGUGCUCCUUCUUUGAAGACGGCCACAGGUGGAGAUGGCGACCUCAGAGCAUGACAGACUCAAGAUGUGUAAGGUGGCAGUAUCGUGGAGUCUCUGAGAUCAAUCGCAAAAUGACAUUACUUUGCUUAAUGGGUUGCUCAGAGUCAGCCUAACCUACAGCAAAAGCCAGAGAUCUGUUGUGAGCUGGCCAGCCUGACCUCUGUCAGAACAAGCUACCACAGCUCAGCAGGUGUGAGGUCCCUCCUCUAGCUGUUGCUGACCAUGUGCCUGAACCCCACAGACCCUUUUGUCACCUUCUGAACUCUGUUUACUUGUGAACAGCGUGAAAACCCUGGGGCAGUAGGGUUUAGAAAAAUCACACCCCUCUCUAACUUUCUGUGCUGGUGAUCUACAUGGGGGCAGAACUAAAAAUUCUUGCUUGGUUUUGGUGAUGAAUAUAUUUUAAUUAAUUAACAUUUAUUCCUAUCCUCAAAUAAUUCUACUCCCAGCUCUCACGCAUCUAGUAACUGGGAGUGCCCAUCCCAGAAAUUAUAGGGUUGCUUACCAGCUCCAGGGAAAUCAGUGUGAAAUCAACAAUUUGAAGCCCUGUGGACUGUGUUCCUGCAAUGGAUCGCUUCCUCUGUGCUGGCCAUUCAGAUGCAAGAUCGCACAAGCUAAUUUAGAUAAGAAGGAACUUUACAGCAGGGCUGUGCGAUAAGAGAAUCCAGAAACUAGUGCUGAGGGGAAGAGAACAGAGUCAGAAGAAGGAAAGGGUAGGAGGAGUUUCCUGUUGAACACACUCACCACACAGAUGCACACACGUAUGCAAUCAAAAUAGCAGCCAGAAACCCACAAAACAUAUGGUUUACCCCAAAGCUGAUACUCACUUCAACAAUUCCUUAAGUUACAGGAGAGAAGGAUGCACACAUUGUAUGGAAGGAUGGUAAACCAUCACCUUAUCCAAAGCCACAAAGCUGUUGCUGUUAAUGGAAAAAUAUCUAUCUAUACCAGUAGUCAUGGUGUUUUUAAGGGCUUGACCCAAUUUAUGGCAAUUGUUGGAUAGGAAAACUUCUGUUCCAUCCAUCAGUCUGGGUGGAUAAGGGCCCACAUCCUCAGCCGCUGCCCAAAAACUGUGUAGCUCAUGAUCGUCUGUACAGGUAUGCUUUCCCAACACAAAGCUUAGCUGCCUGCCAGCAAAGUUCCCUCAUUCUAUUUUUGGACUAGAGAUAGGAGAAAUAUUCCCAACAGUGUUGCUGUGGCUCUUGGAUCAAAAUGAGUGUUAUCAGGGGAAAGAGUAGGAGGAAUCAGGCAGGUUUUUUUCCCACCAUCUCUUCUUUCUCCUUAUCUUUCAGUCUCACUGCCUGAAAAGUGGUAGCUAGAAUUUGUUGUUUUUUUUUUUUUGUUUGUUUGUUUGUUUGUUUGUUUUUUAAAAAAAGAUGGGAUGGGAUGGGAUGGGAUGGGAUGGGAUGGGAUGGGAUGGGGGGAGGGAAGGACACAAAACCCAAUAAAAUAUUAGCCCCAAAAGCA
rnacentral:lncRNA from 1 species